CAAGUGCUGUCACUGUUCGGUUGUGUUUUGUGUUAUCGGGACUUACAAUUAGAUUAAAAUAUCGUUAAUUAUUAAAGAUAAAUAAUCACAGACUGAUUAAAACCAUAUAGUGACAUCGCUUUAGCGUUACAUCAAUUAAAAUGAACGGAUAACAGCUGUGUGACAAGUGAAACAAAUCGAUACAAGUGAUCGGCCACUCGUUAAAAAGUGUUCCAGGGUGUUUUCUGAAAAGCGGUAGUGAUUACUCGCCGUGUGUGUUCAUUACAAUAGCUUGACGUGUUACGAUUUACCGGUGUGGAUACUUUCGUUUUUGUGGCAUGGCUUCGAAGUGAGGUUCUUCGAGUAGGAUAAUUAAAGUGUCUGAAAGUUCAUCGCACAUCAAUGGAUUGUUAGCAGUUGCUUGUGGGGGCGCAUCCAAGAUGAUGGUAGAGACCAUGCUCGAGUCCUCGCAGGACUUCGGCAUGUCGAACGGCGCGCUACCACAAUGGAAGCGGGAGCUGCUGCAGCGCCGCGCCGCGCGCUCCCGCCCCGCGCCGCCCGC